GACACUUUGGCCGAGUGGUUAAGGCGGUGCCCUGCUAAGGCAUCACAUUCGUGUGCGUAGGUUCGAAUCCUGCAGGUGUCG
rnacentral:tRNA from 2 species